rnacentral:lncRNA from 1 species
UUCGCUUAGAAUUAUUUGUAGACAGAUCUUGGAUCUGUAUUCCCAGCACUUAGCACAGUGCCUCAAGCACCAGAACUAAAAAGGGGUUUGUGGUGUAGAAUCAGUGGGAACCCUGAGCUUGUUUUCCUGCAACUAGAUGGUCCCAUCUGGGGGUGAUGGGAGACAGUGACAGAUCAUCAGGCAUUAGAUUCUCUUAAGGAGUACACAACCACAACCCAGAUCCCUUGCAUGCACAGUUCACAAUAGGGUUCACGCUUCUAUGAGAAUCUAAUACCACCACCGACCUGACAGGAGGCAUAGCUAGGUGGUAAUGCUAACUCACCCGCCGCUCACCUGCUGCUCUGUAGCCAGUUCCUAACAGGCUAUGGACCAGUACUAUUCCAUGGCCUGGGGGCUGGGGACACCUACUCUACAUGAUGCUAAUUCACUGCAUGUUCUUCCUCUUGGCUCAAUUUAGUCAAGAAUUUCACAGAGGGGCAUAUGGCCUGGUUCGGGCCAUAUGUGCAUUUUGUCCUUAUCUCUAACUGAGCAGCCUCAACCUGUUUUACCUUAUAUCCUCUUCCAUCAAGCAUCCCUCAGCUUUUUUUUUCUUUUUUCUGAGAAGCAGUCUCGCUCUGUCACCCAGGCUGGAGUGCAGUGGUGCAAUCUCAGCUUACUGCAACCUCUACCUCCCAGGUCCAAGCGAUUCUCCUGCCUCAGUCUCCCAAGUAGCUGGGACUACAGGCGCGUGCCACCACGCCCAGCUAAUUUUUUGUAUUUUUAGUAGAGUUGGAGUUUCACCAUGUUAGCCAGGAUGGUCUUGAUCUCCUGACCUCGUGAUCUGCCUGACUCGGCCUCCCAAAGUGCUGGGAUUACACGUGUGAGCCACUGCGCCCGGCCCCUUCACCUUUUCUAUAAAAGGAGAAAAUCUUAUAUUUACUAAGGUAUUUAUUUUUCAAGAAUUUAGAAUGUCUUUUUAACUGCACUGGUGUUUUUAUUAUGAUUAUUACUGUGUUCUUGGUAUUCUUGUUACAAAGUUGCAUAAGUUUGAAUGAUCUGAUCUGAUUUAUUUUGUCAGUGGGCCCUAUUAUUUUCAGUGCACCCUAUUAUUUUCAGUGCACAAUUUUUCAGAACA